GGGACCCCUUUAAGCCACUUUGGGAGCCACAUCCACCACUCUGUGACUCCCACACAGGCUGGUUCCCAGGUAUCAGGUGUCCUAGUGUUAACACGGGCCAAAAGGACAAAACAGGACCCUAGGUCCUUCCCAAAACAUUAGGAAAGUUUGUGCACUGAGUUUUUCAGAUUAACUAAGUAAUUCAUACUGUACAUUUCUGAAAUUGAAGUACGCACAGCUUCAAUUCUGUGCAGGGAGGAUGCAACAGGAGAGAAUAUCCUGGGCACAUCUUUCUGGAGAAUCAUUUUUACUACAAGAUUUGUAAGAAACAAAUUUAUUUCCAAGGUAAGAAAUUAAAACUCUAAAACAAGGCUAGAAAGUCAUCUGCCUUUAAUAACCCUUAGUCAUCUGUGCCUGAUAUGUGAGACUUUCUCCAAGAUAAAUCUCUCAAGGAUAACCUAUUUUCCAUCAUUAUAAUUAGUAAAAAUUAGAAAUUUUAGAAAGUCAAUUG
rnacentral:sRNA from 1 species